rnacentral:rRNA from 1 species
UGAAACGCCCCAGCGCCCAUGGUACUUCGUCUCAAGACGCGGGAGAGUCGGUCGCUGCCAGGU